rnacentral:rRNA from 1 species
AUUGAACGCUGGCGGCAUGCUUUACACAUGCAAGUCGAACGGUAACAGGUUAAGCUGACGAGUGGCGAACGGGUGAGUAAUGCAUCGGAACGUGCCCGAUCGUGGGGGAUAACACUUCGAAAGAAGUGCUAAUACCGCAUACGAUCUGAGGCUGAAAACGGGGGACCGUAAGGUCUCGCGCGAUCGGAGCGGCCGAUGUCAGAUUUGGUAGUUGGUGGGGGAAAGGCCUACCAAGCCGACGAUCGGGAGCUGGUCGGAGAGGACGACCAGCCGCACGGGGGAGAAGACACGGCCCAGACGCCUACGGGAGGCAGGAGGGGGGAAUUUGGACAAUGGGCGCAAGCCUGAUCCAGCAAUGCCGCGUGCAGGAAGAAGGCCUUCGGGUUGUAAACUGCUUUUGUACGGAGCGAAAAGGCUAUCUCUAAUACAGGGGGCUGAUGACGGUACCGUAAGAAUAAGCACCGGCUAACUACGUGCCAGCCGCCGCAGUAA